rnacentral:tRNA from 1 species
GCUUGCUUGGUGAAAAAGGUAUACACAAAAGACUUAAAAUCUUUUUUCUGUUUAAAGAAGUACUGGUUCAAGUCCAGUAGCAAGUA